GCAUAAUCCACGAACGAGUAGAUCACGUUGUUGUCCUCGAAAUCCCAGCGGGAGGCCAGCCCCACGUCGAAAUCCAUGUCCUGCUCCACCUCACUCAGCUGGAUCUCAUGGGUGGUGAUGUAAGGCUUUCUGAUCCCCGGAGCGGUGUUCCAGUGUAAGUUUCACUGUCCGGGGACUCGCCCUCUGGAUUCUGGCUGAAGCGCACAUCUCCACAUAUUUUGCUUCUCGCUGGGAGGAGGCUGAAGGCUGGGGAAGUGGCCGCAGCUGCUGCUGGCGCUCCCGGCUGUCUUGCUUUCUGCUCACUGGAUCCUGUACUUGCACCAGUCUGGCCUGCGAGUUCGGCUCAGGAGUGGCGGCUUCCAUUCCGAGUCCUUGCCCAGGUUCCAGCGACAGGAAGAGGCAGUGAUGAACUCAGUGAUUGCCUACCUGAUCUCACUUCUUGAGCAAUUAACAGUGACUAAUGUUACCAGCAUUAACCCAGGCCAUGAGACGAGCAGUUUUGCUCUACCAUAUAACCCCACCAUGAUGUGUUACCACAAAGCCAAAGCAACAGAGUCAAGCCAUCAUGGACUGAAACCUCAACCUGUGAACCAAAAUACUUCUUUUCUCUUUGUAGAUCGUUUACCUCGGGUAUUUUGUUAUAGUGAUAGAAAGUUAAAUAAAAUUACCUACACGUUAAAAACAAGGAUAUUUAAACCUUCUCUAUAGCCAUUCUAAGGUACUAUUUUGUGUUUAUUUUCAGGAAGCCUUCAUAAACUAUUUUGACUAAAGAAUUUAGACAAAAAUAAAUUAAUUUAAAUUUUUUCUCUGGAUAGUA